UAACUGGUAGGUUCUGAAAGUUCAUUUUUGCCCAACAUGAUGCUUCUACCAUGCAAACCAAAUACAGGUUUUAACCAAGACACUAAUAAGAUAGCCAGAGUUAUGGCUUGGACUAAGCUCUGACCAAUGAUUGCUGUUUUGGAGACUGGUGUGUUUGUAACCAUCAGGGUAAUUGAAGACAGGUGUUAUUUCUAGCAUUCUUCUGCAACCAUUUGGGCUGAACGUUCUCAAAUUAUUCUGAAACCUAGUCAAUGCAAAAAAAAAAUAUAUAUUUUCUCUUGUAUGGGUCCUGGCUUGCUGAUUGUUAGGAACAGCAUUUCAACUGCCAAGCACUGGCAUUUUCAUUUCUCUGCCAAGAAAUACCCCUAAUGAGGAGCACAGAAAUUAAAGGCAGCUCUGAAGAGCUAAAAAAAAUAGACUCCCACAGGAAAUCCUGAGGAGUACAUGUCUCUGGCAUGUUUUAUCUUAGAUAGUCCCAUCCUUGCGGUAUUGCGUGCUGAUAGCAGGACAGAAGAGUACCUUUGAAAAUCUCUGGUCUUUAUAGAAGCUGCGGAUGACAACAAGCAGGACCUUCAACACUCUGGGAAGACAAUCCAUCUACUUUCUUUAGUUAUCAUUAAAAUGUCUUUUAGACAUAGGUCAUAACUGGAAACCUAUAAAGGAUGUCUGUGUAUUAGGCACUUCCCACAAAGCCCAGUCCCUUGCGAUUAAAAUUUAUCACAUUGUUCUUCUGGUUACAAAUACUGCUGAUAUGUGUCAUUACUGCAGAGCACUGCUCAUAACAUUUUGACUUUACUCCAAACAUUUUUUUCAUUCUGAGUUCCCAUAAAGAACCCACUCCUGAAGUUUUUAAACGCACCCAUUACUUUCAAGUUUUUAAACUUGUUUUAAAGGUUAUUAACUAUUUUAUUUUUCCGUUAAAUGUUCACUUACACUGACAAAUAUCUUGAUGGGAAACUUCAUGUUCCCUUCUGUGUUCCCUAGGAUGUCACAAAGAGCAAUUAUGGUGCAUAAAAUCAUAUAGACUUAUCAGUUUAUAUGGCAGUUUAUAAAUACUUCAUUUUAUUAAAAGCUCUGUCUUGACUGAGA